GGAUGAUAGUUCACAGGAGACAUUAAAAGAAGAUAUGGUAGAAUAUGACAAUGAAGUGGUUACAGAUCCACAUUAUACAGUUGGAAAUAAGGAGCAAAUAAAUGAGCCUAAUACGAAUAAUCAAGUAAUUAGUGAAAGUACCGAAAAUAAGCUGAUUGAUGAAGUAACUGUCGACAUAACCAACGAUAUAUCCAAUGAUAUAACCAAUGACCUAAAAAAUGAAAUACAAAAUGAACUAAAUGAUGACAUAAAAACUGAACUAAAAAAUGAACUAAAAAAUGAACUAAAAAAUGAACUAAAAANNNNNNNNNNAUGAACUAAAAAAUGAACUAAAAAAUGAACUAAAAAAUGAACUAAAAGAGGACCUAAAAAAGGACCUAAAAGAGGACCUAAAAGAGGACAUAAACAAGGAUAUAAGUAGUAACUUAAAUAAAAAUCCAACAAUGAACCCAAACAACGACUUAAACAAUGACCUAACUAACGACCUAAUCAAUAAUGAUACGUCAAAUAAUAUUAAAGAUAUUUUAACUGAAACGAAUAAUUCUGAUUAUGGUUCAAUAAUAACGUAUAAUGAUAAAACAUAUUAAUUGAUGAUGAAAUAUAUGGUAAAAAUGAAUAUGAUGAAAAUAACGAAUUAAUAAUAAAAAAAUAUAUAGAAGAAGAAAAAGAAGAAAAUAAAAUGUUACCAGAAUAUAAUCAGCUUGAAAAUCAGGAAACAACAGGAACGAAUGAAAUUAAUAUGCCAAUAAAAAUAAAUGUAAUCGAAGAACAACAAGAUAACGAAAGUGAUACACAAACAGAAGCAUUUACAGAAGUAUUAACAGAAGGAUUUACAGAAGUAUUAACAGAAGGAUUUACAGAAGUAUUAACAGAAGAAGAAGAAGAAGAAGAAGAAAAAGAAAAAGAGGAUGAAGAAAAAGGGGUUGACAAAAAAGGGGUUGACAAAAAAGGGGUUGACGAAAAAGGGGUUGACGAAAAAGAAGAAGAUAAUAAUGAACUUAAUAAGAUUGAGAUAGAAACACACAAUAUACCCAAUAUCGUAUAUAAAUUUGAAGAUACUGGUUAUAAUUCAAAGGACGAUGAAAUUAAAAAAAGACAAAUUGAGGAAAAUAAUAAUAUGGUAGAUGGUAAUACAAGAGGUGGAAGUAGAAGAGUCGGGAAUAGAAGAGAUAGUGUAACAUUUGCUGAUAAUGUUAUAGGUGGUGAUACAAAUAGUGAAAAUAAGAUAAGUGUGAGUACGAGAAAUAGACUUGCGACAGUUGAAAACACAAAAUAUAAUAAUACGAAAGGUGAUAAAACGGAAGGUGUAAGUAGAAGAGGUGUAAGUAGAAGAGGUGUAAGUAGAAGAGGUGUAAGUAGAAGAGGUGGAAGUAGAAGAGGUGGAAGUAGAAGAGGUGGAAGUAGAAGAGGUGGAAGUAGAAGAGAUACUGUAACAUUUGCUGAUAAUGUGAUAGGUGAUGAUACAAAGGAUAGUAAUGUGAAAAAUGAUAAAUCAUAUGAAAUACAAGUAAAAGAUACUGUAAAAAGUCAAAGCACAGUUGCAACUGCACAUCCUGAUGCAACAUUAACAGACGAAACUACUGAUAAACAAUUGAUUAAUAAUGACAAAAAAAAAAACAAAAAAAGAGAAAAAAACAUAUAGCAUCUUAUCAAAUUUACAUGUAAAAAGAAAAUACAGUAUCCGUUUGUACAAUAUAAAAAACGCAAAAUGAAAAAGUCAUCGAUAGUGAACAAUCUAACUUAGAAGUUACAAAUAUACAAAAAAAACAAUGUAAAUAAAAAUGACCACGAUGAUAAAAUUAUUAAUAAU
rnacentral:lncRNA from 1 species